GGAAGGGGAGGGAGGGCUGGGGGCGAGAGGGGGCAGGCGACGACCAGUCUCCGUGGCUACUCAGGGCCGAGGGAGGCGCGCGCUGCUACAAUGGAGAUCCUCGGGGCUGGGGGAGGCUGUGGUGUCAGUGGGCGCGGUCGCUCCCGCUAGGGGCUGGCGGCUCUGGUGCAGCAGCCCUGGGGCCGGCUCCUCAGCGGCCCUCCGCCGCCGCCACCGCCAUGGCCAUUCCUCCCAGGCAAAGGGAGAUUUGCCCAGGUGAGGAGGGAUGGAGGGAGGGCGCCAGCCUGGGAGGGGAGAGGGAAGGAGCCGGCCCACUCCCCGCCACUGGCCUCUCCUGCCUCUGCGUGCCCCGUCCAGAUCCAGCCAGAGUCUCCUCUGCUGCCCUCGACCCCAGCCCCACGCUGCAGUCCACAAGUCAGCCUGCUCCCCGCGCCCACCACGGCCUCUCUUGGGCCGCUGGCAUCUCCCAAGCCUGUUUGAGGUAGCACAGUCUGGGCCCUGAGGUUGCGGGGUGCCCUUGGGGGCGCUCGGUGCACUCCCUGGUCCCCGUUUCGGUCCCUGAAAAGAGUAGGUGGGUGGUCUCUGAGCCAAGUUUGCAGCACUGGAUGCCUGGGAAAUUGCGAGGGCUAACCAGUGCCUUUGUUUUGCUGUUUCUCCUCCUUUUUAACUGGAUCCCUGUCUCUUCCUUCCCCUUUCCCCCACUCCUCACUCCUCAUAAGGCCAGAAAGACCAGGGAACCUGCUGCAGAGAAAGGCUUUUGGGGUUAGAGCAUCUGCACCUUCAGAAGCUGUGCUGAAGCCUUGAUAGGCAGCCUCUGCCAUGUGAGGGAAGGCACCUCCUCCAGAUAUUUGUGGAGAGAGGGAGAGAGAAUCCUGAAGUAGACUCCCCACUCAAGAUGAAGUCCAGUGCCGGGCUGGAUGCCAGGACCCUGAGAUCGGGACCUGAGCUGAAACCAAGAGCUGACCGCACAUACCAUUUGGUUUAAAUGGAUAUUUUGCUCGAGUCUAUGGCGUCAGUCAGCUGGUAAGGGCAUUUCUGCAGAAGAAAGAAUGUCAUUGUCAAAUUCUAAAUCUUGGGACUGGGAUGGAGACCACCUUCUGGAGAUUAAAGAUGUUCACGCAGUUGAUCCCAAGGAAAUCCCUGGGUGGCCAAGGGGUAGAAGGAAGAGCUGAAGUCCUCCAGCACCAUGGAAUCUGGCAAUGCACUGUGGACAGAAGCCUCCACCUCCACCUGCAGAGUGUCUCAAAUCAGCAUCAUCAGCCUUGGAGCUUCCGUUGUGGCAAUGGUUGUAUGGUUUCAAGUCUCCUGGUAUUUCCUCAGGAUAGAUUUUCAUUUCUAACCACACAAAGCCAUGAGAUUUUGUUUCUGUACCCAUCUAAUCACAUGGAGCACAUGCUCUGCAUGUUUAUGGGGAAAGGGAGCUGGUUUGGUCAGCCCACAGAUGGCCAUCCUCUUCUUGUGGGAAUGCCAGUCCAUCUCCCAUUGUUCGAGUCCACAGCCAGGAAAAUCAUUCUUUCCAUGGCCAGAGUCAGAGCCUCAAGCCCCCGAAUCACAAGAUUAGUCUUUUGACGAGCUGGGGAGCAACAACACUACGAGAAAGGCAAGUGUGCUGGUGAGGUGUUUGGCACUGGGAGAGAAGUGGAACACCAAAUGCCCCCCCUCCACUUUUCUGUUUUUAAUCAGCUGGUGGGCCCUGGGCUGCCAUGGAUGUCUACCUGAAAACCUUGAGGGCUCAGGAAGACACAUGGUAACAGGGAGAGGAAUGGCAGCUCGGAGUCAGGCAAGGCCACUCCCAAUGCCUGAAACACAGUGACUCGGGAGGCUGCUAGGGAGCCAUUCUUACAUUUCCCUGGGGCCGCGGUCUCCCUCCUUUGCACCCACAACACAGAGGGUCAGCCCCAGGACUGUGCUUGAGGUGCAUUGUCCCCCAUAGACCUGUACAUCAGCCCCAAGCACUGGGCCAUCACCUAGUCCCUGGAACUUCAAGCACACAGGUCAGCUUGCCCUGCAGUUGCCAACCUCAGGGUUGUGACUAGUAAACUGUUGGAGACCAAUGCAGGCCACAUAGGUGACACCUCUCCCCCAGAUACAGUCAAUUCUCAUUCAUUCUCACCUUUUUGGCAAGGAUGGGGUAUUAUUUUGGAAAUGGAUGGCGACCUCCAUUUGAGAGAAUAGAACAUGAGCCAACACAACUUGCCAGUGAUUGCCAGUUCCCUCCCAGAUCGUCAUUGUCACCCCUGAAGGCAGUGACUUAGCAAAGCAGUAGGUCAAGCUGAC